GCGGGGUUAGCUCAGCUGGGAGAGCGUCAGACUGAAGUUAAUGACUUUGGUUACAACCGGAUUUUCAAAUCUGCCAUCUGAAGGUCAUGUGUUCGAUCCACAUACACCGCA
rnacentral:tRNA from 1 species